rnacentral:rRNA from 1 species
AUUGAACGCUGGCGGCAGGCCUAACACAUGCAAGUCGAACGAGUGGCGGACGUGUGAGUAAUGUCUGGGAAACUGCCUGAUGUAGGGGGAUAACUACUGGAAACGGUAGCUAAUACCGCAUACCAUCGGAUUUGCCCAGCUGGGAUUAGCUAGUAGGUGGGGUAAAGGCUCACCUAGGCGACGGUCCCUAGCUGGUCUGAGAGGAUGACCAGCGACACUGGAACUGGGACACGGUCCAGACCCCUACGGGAGGCGGCAGUGGGGAAUAUGGCACAAUGGGCGCAAGCCUGAUGCAGCCAUGCCGCGUGUAUGAAGAAGGCCUUCGGGUUGUAAAGUGCUUUCAGCGGGGAGGCGUUACCCGCAGAAGAAGCGCCGGCUAACUACGUGCCAGCAGCCGCGGUAAUUC